GUGGCCUUCACAUUCAGUAACAACUCUACAUUUUUCUUUAUUAAGUUUACUUCAAGCAGCUUUUUAUUUAUGGCAGCUAGCUCAUUGAAUACGUCUGUGACAGUACGUGCAUCUGCUGAGCUGUCAGGAUCAAUAGUUGCUUUAGGUUUGCAGGCUUCACAGUUUCAUUUUUUUUUUUCAUUUUUCGAGUCAUGGUUAUUUCGUCCUCCCCCGAACAACUUCCUAAGUGAUACCUGCAACCACAGCUCACGCAUAAAAUGGAAGGUGCAUCGUCGGGAAAUGAUAGGCUACAUGAAGCACACUGAGCAGUAUCGGCCAUUGCAGAAAAUUUGUACACAUGCAGCAAGGACACUCGCGGCAGCAGCAGCAGCAGGCGGCAAUAUCAAGUAGCAGCGUAGGAGGCUCAAGUUGUGGUGUAUACUGACCUGCGUUUACAGGAAGAAUUCCCCGGUUAGGAAUGCAGCCACAGGACUAGCGCCGCGCCGCUGCUGCCGCAGAGUGCAAAUGCAGUCUAUCUUCAGUUGACGUGGCUUCAUAUACUGGUUCCCGGGUGCCAGCUGUUGCGCAGACAGGCAAUGCACUUCACAGCAGGUACGUACGGCGCAUCAGUAGAUAGUGCCGUCCAACCGAAGUCACCGCGAAGGCAGUCAAGGCACGUGGAAGUGAUGCGAUUCAACUUGCAGAAGGCCAAAAGCUGUAUGCCUGGCAGAGAAGCGCAGACGUAGGGACCUGCGUUUACAGGAAGAAUUCCCCGGUUAGGAAUGUAGCCACAGGACUAGCGCCGCGCCGCUGCUGCCGCAGAGUGCAAAUGCGGUCGAUCUUCCGUGGACGUGGCUUCAUAUACUGGUUCCCAGGCGGCAGCUGCUCCGCAGGCAGGCAAUGCACUUCACAUCAGGUACGUACGGCACGUCAGUAGAUAGCGCCGUCCAACCGAAGUCACCGCGAAGGUAGUCAAUGCACGUGGCAGCGAUGCGAUUCAACUUGCAGAACGCAAAUGCCUGCGAACAACCAAAGCAAACAACCGAAUUUCCAAAAGUGACGCAAUCACGUAACUGGUGCUCACUACCCUCACGGCGACGCCAUGACGUCACCCUGCCUCCUCUAGAUGUUUUCUGGCCCAAAGACAAGGAGUGCACAUGUUUGCACGCGGUACGGUGGCCUUCCAAGAACGCACCACUGAGUCUGCCCGACUUCAGUCCGAUCCACAGGCACUUCUUUCCUCGACUUUGCCCGACGAGCUCGGCUGGCCCAGCAUAGCACAGAAAUGACAGAUGAAUCCUGGCGACCGCUUUUCUGGCUGAUGCAAAGUGAAUGGAAUCCCGUGCAACCGACCAGGCACAGUGCAGG